GGGCCCGCACAAGCGGUGGAGCAUGUGGUUUAAUUCGAUGCAACGCGAAGAACCUUACCAGGGCUUGACAUACUACAAAUUCUUUGGAAACAGAGAAGUGCCUUCGGGAAUGUAGAUACAGGUGGUGCAUGGCUGUCGUCAGCUCGUGUCGUGAGAUGUUGGGUUAAGUCCCGCAACGAGCGCAACCCUUAUUUUUAGUUACCAAUUCGUUGGGUUCUCUAGAAAGACUGCCGGUGACAAACCGGAGGAAGGUGAGGAUGACGUCAAGUCAGCAUGCCCCUUAUGUCCUGGGCUACACACGUGCUACAAUGGUUAAGACAAAGAGUCGCUAGCUUGCAAGAGUCAGCUAAUCUCAUAAACUUAGCCUAAGUUCAGAUUGUAGGCUGCAACUCGCCUACAUG
rnacentral:rRNA from 1 species